rnacentral:piRNA from 1 species
UAGUAGACAUCCCUGGAUAGCCUCAAGGC